rnacentral:rRNA from 1 species
CAAAAGUGAUUCCGUAAGUAGUGGCGAGCGAAAGCGGAUUAGCCCAAACCAGUAUUGUUUAGGCAAGACUGGGGUUGUAGGACUUCGAUAUCUGUACAUAAGAGGAACAAGAACUGUCUGGGAAGGCGGGCCGAAGGAGGUGAGAGCCCUGUAUUGGUAAGACUUGUGUAUAGUAGGAGUAUCCUGAGUAGGGGGGAGCUGGUGAAACUCCCUUUGAAUCUGCCGGCACCAUCCGGUAAGGCUAAAUACUACCAA